GGAUUUUUAUUCGUUCCGGUUUCGGCAUUUAGUGUACUUUUUUAGUCUGUUGUGUAUUUCCGGUGAAUUCCCACACUUUUCUCCGUGCGUUAUUUUCUGUUAUUUGUGACCGAUUCUUGGCAGUCCAAAGAUUUCUCACCCUUUGUUAUACAUCUAUACGGAGGAGGCCAAUAAACUAUCAAACAUCUUUGAUCUGUUUGAGCACAUAACGAGUUAUUCUUAGACUACAUUCUAUGUCAUUUCUAGAUGGGCGUAGUAAUUUAUGAAUACACAACUUGAAAAAAAAACCCACUUAAAUCCGUUAGGCCUAAUGGCGACUUCCACGAACUAUUGUUUACUGUUGAGCAAACGGGUUUCUUGUGGACUGAAGAAUGCAGUUUCGAAAGGAUGUCUUGAGUUAGAGAUAAGACCUAUUGAAAGAAAAUUGCUGGAAUAUUGUUGAGUGGAACUGGAAUUAAGUGCAAAGUUCGAUGUCGGUACUAACGGAAAGCGUGGGACACGUGCAUAAUCAUGAUGUGGGAUGCCAGGUAGGGUUCUUUUGAGGGUUGUCACGGCUUCCAGGUGGACAAGUGAGUGUUACAGAGGGUUUUUAGAGUUUUAUCAGUGAAUUUCUAAGGUGACAGCUGUUGUAACGUCGUGCGGUGUAUCUGGUAUUUGGGUUCGUGACAUGAAGGAAGUUGUCGCAAGGUGCAAACUGGACUAUUGUCAUCCCUGGUUGAAUACAUUUAACUCUCAGCCCGGAAUUGCAGAAGCAGACGUCUGUUGUUUUAUUGGGGGAGGGGGGUCCUCAAAUAGCCAUGUUUAUUUCAUUUUGCAUAAUUAAUUAUUAUUUAUAUUUGAUAUUUGUUUUUGUUUAAUAAAUCUUUAUAGAUCGAUA